AGCGGAAACGAGUUAUCUGAACCUUCGGGGAACGAUAACGGCGUCGAGCGGCGGACGGGUGAGUAAUGCCUGGGAAAUUGCCCUGAUGUGGGGGAUAACUAUUGGAAACGAUAGCUAAUACCGCAUAAUGUCUACGGACCAAAGAGGGGGACCUUCGGGCCUCUCGCUUCAGGAUAUGCCCAGGUGGGAUUAGCUAGUUGGUGAGGUAAUGGCUCACCAAGGCGACGAUCCCUAGCUGGUCUGAGAGGAUGAUCAGCCACACUGGAACUGAGACACGGUCCAGACUCCUACGGGAGGCAGCAGUGGGGAAUAUUGCACAAUGGGCGCAAGCCUGAUGCAGCCAUGCCGCGUGUAUGAAGAAGGCCUUCGGGUUGUAAAGUACUUUCAGUCGUGAGGAAGGCAAUAUAGUUAAUAGC
rnacentral:rRNA from 1 species